AUUGAACGCUGGCGGCAUGCCUUACACAUGCAAGUCGAACGGUAACGGGCCUUCGGGUGCCGACGAGUGGCGAACGGGUGAGUAAUACAUCGGAACGUGCCCGAUCGUGGGGGAUAACGAGGCGAAAGCUUUGCUAAUACCGCAUACGAUCUACGGAUGAAAGCAGGGGACCGCAAGGCCUUGCGCGGACGGAGCGGCCGAUGGCGGAUUAGGUAGUUGGUGGGAUAAAAGCUUACCAAGCCGACGAUCUGUAGCUGGUCUGAGAGGAUGAUCGGCCACACUGGGACUGAGACACGGCCAAGACUCCUACGGGAGGCAGCAGUGGGGAAUGUUGGACAAUGGGCGCAAGCCUGAUCCAGCCAUGCCGCGUGCAGGAUGAAGGCCUUCGGGUUGUAAACUGCUUUUGUACGGAACGAAAAGCCUUCUUUUAAUACAGGAGGGUCAUGACGGUACCGGAAGAAUAAGCACCGGCUAACUACGUG
rnacentral:rRNA from 1 species